GGUUGAUCCUGCCAGUACUAUAUGCUUGUCCCAAAGAUUAAGCCAUGCACGUCUCAGUAUAAACUAUUUUACGGUGAAACUGCGAACGGCUCAUUAUAUCAGUGAUAGUUCACUUGAUGGUACUUUACACGGAUAACCGUGGAAAAUCUACAGCUAAUACGUGCCAACGCCUGCGGGCGGUAUUUAUUAGAUUAAGCCAAGCCCUUUCGGGGGAGCGGUGAGUCAUGAUAACUGUGCGGAUCGCAAGACUUUGGUCGGCGACGCUUCAUUCAAAUUUCUGCCCCAUCAACUA
rnacentral:rRNA from 1 species